rnacentral:lncRNA from 1 species
AAUUGAUUUUUGGCUGAGAAGAGCACUCAAAAAGCCACGCAGAUUUGGUAGUAACAGGCAAAACUGAUAUCUUGGAUCUGGCACUGAACAGAGUGAUCAUGGUGCUGAGACGGCAGAACCAUGCAGCAGAGCCUGGGCUUCUGCUUGGUCCCCUGCCUCUGGACUUCUGUAAAACCUAUGUUGUCUCUAUUUUGUAUAUGCCAGCUAAAUUUAUGCAUAUUAAUUACACAUUUUAUACUUGAAAUGUUUCUGUUUUGAUAUUUUUGUUGAUAGAGCACAGAAAAUAAUCUAAAGCAU